UACGUAGGGGGCAAGCGUUGUCCGGAAUCAUUGGGCGUAAAGCGCGUGUAGGCGGCUCGAUAAGUCCGCUCUGAAAGUCCAGGGCUCAACCCUGGAAGGCGGGUGGAUACUGUCGAGCUCGAGUCCGGAAGAGGCGAGUGGAAUUCCCGGUGUAGCGGUGAAAUGCGCAGAUAUCGGGAAGAACACCCGUGGCGAAGGCGGUUCUCUGGGACGGUACUGACGCUGAGACGCGAAAGCGUGGGGAGCGAACAGG
rnacentral:rRNA from 1 species